GAGCACUGUCUUUGAAUCCAUGAAAAGCCUCAUCCGUGGCUUGAUGGGCUACGCAGCGGUGCAAAAUUAUGAGUUUGUUUAUAACUGGGGCUUCUUGGUUAAACCCAAGUGGCUCUUUUAAGAACAAGUGACAUUU